rnacentral:rRNA from 1 species
CAACUACCACUCAGGGCCGGAAAGCUCUCCAAACUCGGUCAUUUAGAGGAAGUAAAAGUCGUAACAAGGUCUCCGUUGGUGAACCAGCGGAGGGAUCAUUACCGAGUUUACAACUCCCAAACCCAAUGUGAACGUUACCAAACUGUUGCCUCGGCGGGAUCUCUGCCCCGGGUGCGUCGCAGCCCCGGACCAAGGCGCCCGCCGGAGGACCAACCAAAACUCUUAUUGUAUACCCCCUCGCGGGUUUUUUUAUAAUCUGAGCCUUCUCGGCGCCUCUCGUAGGCGUUUCGAAAAUGAAUCAAAACUUUCAACAACGGAUCUCUUGGUUCUGGCAUCGAUGAAGAACGCAGCGAAAUGCGAUAAGUAAUGUGAAUUGCAGAAUUCAGUGAAUCAUCGAAUCUUUGAACGCACAUUGCGCCCGCCAGUAUUCUGGCGGGCAUGCCUGUCCGAGCGUCAUUUCAACCCUCGAACCCCUCCGGGGGGUCGGCGUUGGGGAUCGGCCCUGCCUUGGCGGUGGCCGUCUCCGAAAUACAGUGGCGGUCUCGCCGCAGCCUCUCCUGCGCAGUAGUUUGCACACUCGCAUCGGGAGCGCGGCGCGUCCACAGCCGUUAAACACCCAACUUCUGAAAUGUUGACCUCGGAUCAGGUAGGAAUACCCGCUGAACUUAAGCAUAUCAAUAAGCGGAGGAAAAGAAACCAACAGGGAUUGCCCCAGUAACGGCGAGUGAAGCGGCAACAGCUCAAAUUUGAAAUCUGGUCCCUAGGGCCCGAGUUGUAAUUUGUAGAGGAUGCUUUUGGUGAGGUGCCGCCCGAGUUCCCUGGAACGGGA